CAAUAAUUAAGUUGGGAAUCAGAUAACUAACAGUACCUAAAUAGUAAAGAAUAAUAUUGGGAGUACAAAGCUAAAGUCCAUAUAGAUUAAAGAGUAAAGAAAGGAAAAAUUGCACAAAUCAAACUCGGAAAACCUUAGCUAUGGAAUAAGCAGCAGCAGAAGCUAUGGCUCCUAUGAAGGCAGUUUGUAUAGCACUCUUCAAGGGUUGCUCACCAGUAAAGUGACCCUUAAUGAACCCAAAUAUUAGUAAUGCCAGAAUCGUUAUUAGAAUUGAUGCAAUAACUGCAUCUUUAGCAACUGGAAAGAUCAUGUAUGGUGAAAGAGGUAUCAAUCCACCAAUUAUGUAAGAUAUGGCAAUUGUUAAUGCACUCUGUAAUGCUCUCAUUGGGUCUGGUUUCUCCAGUCCUAGUUCAAACCUGCAUUAACAUUACUUUCGUACUAAUUUCAUUGAAAUGCUAAAUUAAUAAAUAUAAAGAUAAAAUCAUAAAGAUUUACUUCAUCAUGAACUUAAGCCAAUGUUGAGGGUUCCUCCUCAGAGCAUUGACCACAGCCUCAUAUUCAUGUGGCUCAACUCCAUACUCAGCUAAUAUUUCUCCACAUUCAGCAGCCUCUGCACAGAGAUUUAUGUAAGAAUCGCAAAACAGAUUUUUUUUUCCCCGUUCAUAAAACUAAAAAUGAUGAUGAGAAAUAAUGAAGGAAGCAUCCCUAAACCUGCAUCCGGGACACUGAUGAUCUCUUCUUCUUCUCGUUUUAGUUCCCUCAUGUAGUGGUCAGCUUCACUUUUGGCUGCAAGGUACCCUCCAAGCCCCAUGGAGAUGGCACCGGCAGCAACUUCGGCAAUGCCGGCGAUGAGAAUGAUGCUUGAUGUGACAUUGGCUCCGGACAAGCCAGCGGCGAGGGCAAAAGGGACGGUGAGACCAUCAGAGACUCCAAUAAUGAUGUCACGGAUAAUCUCACUAGAGGUGAAGUGUUUCUCUUCAUGUUGUUGUAGAAGCAAUUUCUGCUUCUCUAGAUCCGUAUACCCAUUUUCUGCCAUUAAAAUUUGGUAAUUGAUUAGGAACUUGAUGUAUGUGAAAACUGCAAAUCCCCUGUUUCCAGUUUCUCUGCGUCUCUG
rnacentral:misc_RNA from 1 species